rnacentral:rRNA from 1 species
AUUGAACGCUGGCGGCAGGCCUAACACAUGCAAGUCGAGCGAGCGGCGGACGGGUGAGUAAUGUAUGGGGACUGCCCGAUAGAGGGGGAUAACUACUGGAAACGGUAGCUAAUACCGCAUACUAUCGGAUAACCCAUAUGGGAUUAGCUAGUAGGUGAGGUAAUGGCUCACCUAGGCGACGAUCCCUAGCUGGUCUGAGAGGAUGAUCAGCCACACUGGGACUGAGAAACGGCCCAGACUCCUACGGAGGCAGCAGGGGGGAAUAUUGCACAAUGGGCGGAAGCCUGAGGCAGCCAUGCCGCGUGUAUGAAGAAGGCCUUAGGGUUGUAAAGUACUUUCAGUCGGGAGGCGUUACCGACAGAAGAAGCACCGGCUAACUCCGUGCCAGCAGCCGCGGUAAUUC